CUUGAACACCCCACAACAUAAAGUUUGUCACCUCCGUUAGUUAGCUGACUAGCUUUUAUCCUGCUGGUUUCAACGCGGAUUCCAACACUGGAUUAUGAUUUUUAACCAACUGGAUUUGGUCUAAAUCUGUCUGCGUUUACAUUGUGUGGAGGAGGAGGAAGAUGGCGACCACACAGGAGCAGCAGCAGCAGCCGGAGUUGACAGAGUCGUUACAGGCCCCAGACAGGUAGACCAACGCAUUUUGUCUCAAUAUUUCGCUCACUGCUGAUAUGCUUUGCCUUGGAAAUUGUUUUGCGACAUAAAUAGCCUCUCACUACAUCUGUAUCUUUAAGUUUGCUGAGAUGUAGCCACGAUUUUUACCUCAAUUUGGUGAAUCCAUGGUUGCAGCUGACGUCUCUUUCCGGUCACCUGUUGGUUCAUUUCUUUUGUGUGAAAACUUUGGUCGAGUUUGUCGAUGUGAGCGUUAAAGCAGAACCUUUAAGCUUGUUAUCAGGUUGAUUUGGAACCUUUAGGAUUUAAAAAAAAUGCAGAAUCGAGUUUUUGACAGAACCCAUCUCAAUUCCCAUUCCUUGAAACUAGUGUGGCAUAGGGGAGAGUGGGGUAAGUUGAGCCACCCCCUGUUGCUUGGAAAUGGUAAAAGAAAUUGAUCAUGUGACCAAAUAUUUAGGAGAUGGGCAUCAAUUCAUGGAGUCUGUGGAGGUUAGAGGCACAUUUAUUUCAAAAAAAAAAAAAAAAAACCCCAAACAUUUUCCACUCUUGAAAGGGAAUUUAGUCUGUCAUAAGUUUUAUUAGAAUUGUGUUCAGACCAAAAAAGAUAAUUUUAUAUGAAAAAUGGCUUAUCUUACCCCACUCUCCCUUAUUUGUGCAACAAUUAUUGUAUGCAGUUGUUUAAUCUUUUCCCCUCCUUUAGGCCCACGUUACAGUGAUAUUGUCUAUUUCAGAUAAAUUGUUGAAACAGAGUGAAGUUUGAAGUUUUGUUUACCUAUUUUAAUUGCACACUUAAUGUUUGUUGUUUUCUGAAAAAAUGAGUUGAUUAAAAUAGUAGCAACAUAAGAUGACACCUGAGCUUGGAAAUUGUGAUACUCACUUUGAAACAAUUAACUUCUAUGAAAUGUCAUUUAAGGUCAGAAUUGUUUUCUUAAGUUCUGUAGCGGUUUGUUGCUAUUUUCUUGUUUUGAUUUUACCUCAAAGAGCUGUUGGUCAAGAUUUAUAGAGCCCCACUUUAUAUCGGUUGCUUAAAUGCUGGCUGUGAAUCAGACUGUGACAUAUGGAAAAGCACUUCAAGCUAUGUUGAAAGAUUCGUAGCGAAACUCAAAAAUAUAACGUGCCCUUUUCCAAAGACCCCUUCACAAGCCAUCUUGCAGCAUCUGUAGAAAGCGAUGAGUGAGAAAGGUCUUUUUUUGUUGAUAUGGAUCACGGUGGAUCCUCCUCUCCUCGGGGGCAGAGUUGCCACAGGCCUGGGUGACUCAUUAAUCUGUUAGAUUGGAACAGUCAGAACAUUCGAAAGCCAUGUCCUCUUCCUCCGCAGUGUGAUUCCUUUGAUGAAACAGCUUCUUGGGAUCCAAAGGGUGCAAGAGAGGCUAUAACUUAUAUUUUCAAUUACAAGGAUAUUCCAUUUUACAAGUUGCACAUUGCAUGAUGCAUCUAUCUCUGCUAUUUGCAUGACUGUCCGUUUGCAUUUGUCACAAUCAGACCGAAGUCUAAAGGGAGACCGAGGUUGGCUACGUGCACACAUUAGAUUUGUCGCCUGUUAGUCAGCCUUUCACUGGGAAUAUUCAGCUGCACAGAUUGCAGAAAUAUAUUUCUUAAAGCUGUUUUGUGGACUUUUUAUGACAUAUUCCCUCAAUAUUUGCCGCCUUUUAUGGCCAAAAAUGCUGCUGCUGGAAUAAGCGGUUCAGUCCUUGUCACAUCCCUUCAUUCCUCGCAAGAAUUUUUUGAUGACUUUUUAGAAAAUAGAGGCUUAUCGCCGGGAAAAAAAAAGAAGUUAGAGAUGAGAGAGCAGCUCCAGCACUCCGUCAAAUGGUGUGAUCCUUGUCCCUGAAAGCCUGAAAAUCCUGCCUUAUACGAGUCCAGUGGAGUCCAAACUCGAGUUUACAAUCUCAGUGUUUGGCCUUCACUUAUCUUUUGGUAGUUCUUGUCAGAUUGUUCUGUCUGCUAAAGAUGCUGUGUUUAUAUUUUAUGAUUAGAACAAGUUAAAAGCAAGGGGAGUUCAUGAUAUUGCAUGUUUUGGCAACAAGACAAUUCAAAGUGCUCUAAAUAAGAAUCAUUUCAAAGGUCAAACAGAGUAAAAGAAAAUAUUUGAGAAUUUAAAGAGGGCAUUGAAAAGGUUAAUUAGAAUAAUUUGCUGCUUUUUUAAGGUAAUGUAAAAUAAUAGGCAUUAAUAAUUAAAGCAAGAAAAAACUUUAACAGCAAAAUAGAAGGUUAAAUACAUUGAAAAUUAUUGACUUUCGGUCAACCUGACUUUUUGGUCUUCACAAGGACUCAAGCUGCAGCCAUCUGAUCAUUUUUUAGGCUGACCUCUAAAGAAAGGAGGACUUUGUAAUUUUUCUUGUGCUGUUUUUAAAAUUCAGGUCUAAGUCUGUUACUGCGCCAAGGUUUCAGGCUUGAUCAGUUGUUUUCGACUGCAAUGUCUGCAGCUGCUCACUGACUUUUAAUCAGUCCUUUAGGCUGCAGAAACAACUACAUCAGAUCUAUCCUUUUUCAGUGAAAGAAAAUUUUUGCAUAUGCACUCGCAGAUUUGUUAAAAGCACUUACUCAGGACCUGUAUGGGGUCCAUAUGGUGACACUUUUAUGAGUCAUUUGCAUAGUUAUGGUGACUUGUUAUUUCAUUUUUUUCUGUAAUCUAUGCCAGUGGAAGCACGCAAAUAUUAGAAUCAGAAUCAUUUAUUAAUUGCCACACAAUGGAGUUGAUGGAAUUUGUUUUUUGGUACAGCACAUCAUGCUCACAUCUCCUGUGUCAGAUACAGAAACAAAAGAGGACCCUACAUGUAAUUGCUGUCUGUUCAGAUGUAAAUUUAUCUAUGGACACCUCUGUCCCUUAGGUAAGAUUUAAACCAGGCAGGUACUGUGCCAUAAAGUCCAGCCCAGUUCUCUGGUCAGUCAUCAGUAUGAUGGUCAAUUUCCACUGGGAUGAAGAUUGAAAUUCUGAUCUGUCUGUAUUUGGGAUGCGAUCAAAGACUCAACUAAGAGGUAUCAAUCAGUUGUUAAGCGUCAGUACAUUAUUUAACUAUCAAAAAACUUCUUUUUCUGUUAUUUUAAUCGGUUAUAAUACUUAACCUUGUCACAUCUUCUGGAUAAAUUUGUAAGUUUUGAUCAUAUUUUAUGAUAACUUCUCCCGGCAAGUAUAUUUAAUAAGUAGAUAACUCUGUAGAAACUCCAUGGGGGUUACCACAGGCCAUACACUAUGGCAGGUCUGAAAACUACCUUAUUGAUUGGUCUUGGCUUUGGGCCAUCUGGGCCAGUCAGCUAGAAGUGAACCCACAGCACAAACAGCAACCAUCUCAUAUUCCUCUCAAGUGUCUUUGUCUGCUGAGAUGGAUAACCCCGAUUUGCAUUUUUCCACCAUCCAGGGUAGAGAUGCGGGCCAAAGAGUCAUACAUAAUGCUGGAAAUGAGCAGAUGAUGUCCAGUAUGUCGGGAGGACUGCCAGUUUGGCUUCUUUGAGCUCCUGCCCUGAGUAUCGACUUCAUGAGCACCUCCAACUUUUCUUCUGCAGUUUUGUUUACUUGAACUCUGGACACAAACACGCAUUAAGUUUUGUAUUUUAACAUAAACCAGCCUCUGCUGCUUGUAAACUAGCAAACAGGUCAAACUUUUUAGUUUUUCCUCUGCUGGCAUAGAGCUAAAGGUGUGAGAAGAAGUACAUCUACUUUGUUAAUCUGUUUGAAAAGAGUUUUCAGUAGCUGCCCUCUACUUGACUAACAUUUUUCGGACAACUUUUUGCUUUUACCCCCUACAUUUUAACUCCAAGAUCUGCACUUUCAAGCAC